GGAGCUGUUUGAUGACGUAUCGCUUUGUAAAGCCAAUGAAAUAAAAGAUAACACUCCAAGCUACAUGGUGAUAUAUUUUCGCAUGGCGUAUGACCUUUAGAAGUUGGUGAAAAUGUAAACAGAAUAAAGUCAUCGGAGAAUUUUACGAUAAAUAAGACCUUUUCAGGGACUUAUGUCAUGAAGUUAUGACUUAUCGUCUUAUGUCAAUACUCAAUAGACUGUAUUGUUUGAGUCAAAGAUUAGGUGUCUUAAAAUGGCUGGGAUUUUAUUAGAAUCGCAUAACCUUGAUACCGGGAAACAGGCCUUGACCAACAAAGAUGUUAUCACAGCUUUUGAACAAUUUUGUUGCGGGAAAAUUACUUUUAAAUCUUCUUUGUGCGAGUUCAAAGAGAGGUAUGGUACUCAGGUUUGUGAUCAAACUGAGGCCAGUCUGAGAAUGAAGAUUAGUAAAUUGUACAAAAGGGAAAGAAAACUUGUGCGUGAUAAGAAAAAUGCAGAGUUGAAAAAUUUUA